UAAAAUCAUGUUGGAAUGGAGUUCUGUGUGGAUGCUCCUUUGAACCAAAUCAGUUCCACAACUGACCCUGUCAGGGACAUAUAAAUUUAGCAUUUUGGUGUGGAUACAGAAGACGAGAUUAACACAGAUCAAGUAACAUGGAAAUAAAAAAGGAGACAAUGCUGGAUGAUACAGGGGCAGCAACAAGAGGAGAAAACCCAAGCAUUGGCAAAUGCCUCAUUAUCCAAAGAACACUGUAAAAGAAAGCCUGAGGAGGCUUUCCCCUCUGAGUUUUUCCGUGGAUUGCUGGACUCUGAGGCCCUCAUUCCUCUUGCAGGAGGUGUGCAGCAAAACUGUGUUGAAUGAACUGUAGAUGGAAAUUCUCUCCUUCCCACCGAGGAGCCGCUGCAGGUUGCAGACUCCCAGAAUGCCACACUGAGAAGAGGAGGGCUAAAAUUCUAGAGCAGAAUCCCUGGGGCAGCCCCUGCUGAAGAAGGGUGCAUCUGUUGAGAAUCUCAUCACCGCCCCCACCCCGCCCAGCCUUCAAUUUAGAGGAAUUUCUAGUUCACGCAGAAUGAAGACAAGAUCACAUAAGUGAGGACGACGCCCCAUUUACAAGUGUGGUUUGGAAGACUGAAGUGGAAACCUUGGGAAGGGGCCUCAGAGUAUGUCAGCUGGGGUCAGACGGGAACAGGAGUCUGGCUCAACACACAUUUAUUGCACUCCUGCUUCAUGCCAAGAAAUGCACCAAAAUCUGGGACUGUGUAACACAGCAAAGGAAAAGACUCAUCUCCAGGAAGCCCCCUUGUCUAGGAAGAGAAAUUGAAUAUCAGCAUAAGGUGGUGAAAAGCUAUGAAGGAGAUGAGUGCCACGAGUCCAUGGAGGAAGGAU
rnacentral:lncRNA from 1 species